ACAGACAAAUAGAGAAAAAAGACCCACAAAGAAGAUUCUUAAUACUUAUUCAGACCCUGGAAAAUGGGAUUGGCUGUGAAUACAGCAACAAGGGAGAUGUGGAUGGUGACUCCAAGAGCUUCAACCAAGAGCAUCAGCAGAAGGGGCAGCCAACAAUAUUUCUCCACGCCCUCGUCAUGAAGAUCAAAGGCUGCCUUCCUCUCCACCAUCCACCCUCUCGGCGAGAUCUUGGAGGUGUCAUCGUCCCCAUAGUUCAGAUUAUUCGUGGUGCAUCACCAUACAUGAUCCUUCGCACACCCCUGGCCGCGGACGCACUCUGUCAGGCCGGCCCAGUGCACCGUCGCCAUUGGCAACCACACGUCUCAGGCGGGCUGCAGCACGGCCUGGCUGUCACGGCUGUUUCUCCACAUCUAAGGCUCUCUCCCCACAACCACACGUGGAUUCUGCUGUGGGAGAGGAAGAGCCAAGGCUGCGGGUGAUCUGUCCCUGGUUAAGCCGUGUCUCCUGCAGGUCUUGCCUUUUUUUAUUAGCUAGAGUGACAUUCAGAUCUGGAGUUUUGUGAGGGAGGGGUACUGAGGCUUACAGGUAAUGUGAAUACGUUUUUGUCUAAUUAGGUGAGGGGUCCUGAGAAAAGAUGGGGGAAG